AGACGGAGGGUGCAAGCGUUGUUCGGAAUCACUGGGCGUAAAGCGCGUGUAGGCGGUCCGGUAAGUCGAGUGUGAAAGCCCGAGGCUCAACCUCGGAAGUGCACUCGAAACUGUUGGGCUUGAGUACGGGAGAGGGAAGCGGAAUUCCUGGUGUAGAGGUGAAAUUCGUAGAUAUCAGGAGGAACACCGGUGGCGAAGGCGGCUUCCUGGACCGAUACUGACGCUGAGACGCGAAAGCGUGGGGAGC
rnacentral:rRNA from 1 species